rnacentral:piRNA from 1 species
UAUUUCGGGAAUUUUCUAUUU